rnacentral:lncRNA from 1 species
AAUUUACUUUUCAUAGGAUGAGCAGGAAAAAUAAUUCUGAACAAUGAAUAAGAAGUCAUAGUGAUUAUUUUAAUUAAAAAUUUGAAAUUAUUAUGGGAUUAAGUAAACAUCAUACCUAUAAUUAGAAUUGUUUGAGGUAAAAACAAAUACAAGGACCUCAGGGAAUAGGAUUUUGGCAUAAUUUGAGCACUAAACUAAAUCCAGAUGUUUGAACCACUAUAUCCAAAGGUAGAAAAGUAAAAAAAAAAAAAAAAAAAAAAGAAUUUGUGAAGCCAGAAACUAUUUCUUAGUGCCCAGACUUACAACUAUAGUAUAAAUUUAAACUGUAGCUCAAGUAAGGGCUUUGGGUUGGUGAGAAUAUUUCAGGAUAUCAGUCUCAUUCUGAAGGAAGAUAUGUACAUAUCCUUUGAAGAAUGAUGAAUUCGGUAGUUCACAUACCAAUUUCCAAUCGCUUGACAAUUAAUUGAUUAACUGUUGGAGUCUUGCUGUCUCAGAAAUCUUAGUAUGUCUUUUAUCCAAACAAGGUCGAAAAUCACAUGUUAACUGUUGUUUUAGUCCAGUUAUUUCAAACACAAAUAUUUAUAGUAGUUAUAAAAGUAUCUCUCUGUAUACUUACUGGUUUGUUCAUACAAAUUUAGUUUCAUGGUGCCAAAAUUAUAGCAUAGAAAAAUGGUAAGGAAUUCCUCAUAUAAUAAUUAAAUUUUGUAUUAGUUGGUUGAUUUAAGCAUUCUAAGGAAUUGUCAUGGAGAGGAAUAGUAGAUAUCUUUUAACUUAUCACCUAUAAAGUUAGUUAGUGUGGACUGAAUUUAGCAGAAGUAAAAUUGAUCUAUAUUGAAGAUUGACAUAUUAAAACUUUAAUAUUUGGGCAAGAUAUAAUAUUUUAAAAUACAGAUUCAAUUUUUCCAUAGGCACCUUCAGUUCUUUUAGUUGUCAGCAGUUGUCCACUGCCUCUUGACUGGCAAUUUAAAAAAGUUUGGAGUGUUUUGACUCAGCAGCCCACUAGCAUCUAUGACCCCCAAAGCUAAGGAUAUCAUCCAAUACAACCUGAAGCUGACAACAGUCUCUCUCUCUCUCUCUCUCUCUCUCUCUCUCUCUCUCUCUCUCUCUCUCUCCCUCUCUCCCUCUCUUUGGUUUUUCGAGACAGGGUUUCUUUGUGUAGCCCUGGCUGUCCUGGAACUCUGUAGACCAGGGUGGCCUCGAACUCAGAAAUCCGGCGGCCUCUGCCUCCCAAGUGCUGGGAUUAAAGGCCUGCGCCACCACCGCCCGGCUGCUACUACUUUUUCUUCUAACAUUCUCACCAAAGUAUGUUCAAAUGCCCCCAUUUAUGAUGUUCUUUUGUUUUUUAACUACACAAUAAUAUUAAUUUUGAAUGACUAAAUGGUUCUAACCUUAUGACAAGGUGAACGUUAUCAGUUAUUUAGUGUAUGAAUUAUAAAAUCCAUCUGUUCAUAAUAUAAUUUUUAAAAAUUUUCUAAUGAAAUCAACAUGGUGGCUUAAAAACAUGUUUAAAUUUCACCCCAGAGUCAUCUCCAUAUUAGAACAGGCUAAUUGGGGAACUGGUGUUUGUGGGACAAUAUCAUUCAUAUUUACCUAGUACAAAUUCUUUCUUGUUUUUGCUGAGAGUAAGGGUCUGUGUCAACAUUGCUGAAAUUAACCUGCAUACAGAAGUAAGAGGAAAUGUAACACCCUAUCUAAACGCCAAAAAUAAAUACUUAAAGUGUCUAACAAAGUUACAAAACCACUGUACUAUUUCAAUAAUAAAAUAUUCAUUGUUGUAACCCUAGAAACCAAGAUAAAAUCUAAAGGUAAAUAUGUCUCUUUGAAAUUCAUCUUAACUUGUGAAAUAUAAAGCAAAUAAGAGUACAGGACCUUGAGCUAGUAUUUGUUAGGUAAGUGCACAGUUCAAGCAUAGUAGGACAACACUACAGAGAUUUUAGAUGGGGGACAUCAAUAAAAUUUUGUUUGAAUGUGGUGCGUUUAACUACCUAUCUGGAUAUGUGCAGAUAUUAUAUGGAAAAAAAAAAAACAUGCCAGCCUUCUCUUUCUUACAUCUGUUUGCAAUGACCUUCAGACUUCACUAGACCUGGAGCAGUUUUGCCCUUGACAUACAGACUGUUUGGGAAGGUGCAUAGAUUUUUCUGUGCAUCUAUGGUUUUAUUAUAAACACAUAAAAUUUGUGUAUGUGCAGGAAUUUAUUUCUAUUUUAUUUUUCUUUCCCCUUUUGGAUUUAUGUAUUUAUUUAUGUUAUGUAUAUGAAUACACUGUAGCUGCCCUCAGACUCCAGAUGCUGAUACAGGUGGUUGUGAGCUACCACGUGCUUGCUGGGAAUUGAACUCAGGACCUCUGGAAGAGCAGCCAAUGCUCUUAACUGCUGAGCCAUCUCUGUAGCUCUUUCUUUUUAAUUCUG